GGGGAAUAUUGCACAAUGGGCGAAAGCCUGAUGCAGCAACGCCGCGUGAGCGAUGAAGGCCUUCGGGUUGUAAAGCUCUGUCUUCGCUGACGAUAAUGACGGUAAGCGAGGAGGAAGCCACGGCUAACUACGUGCCAGCAGCCGCGGUAAUACGUAGGUGGCAAGCGUUGUCCGGAAUUACUGGGCGUAAAGAAUGCGUAGGCGGUCUUUUAAGUGGGAUGUGAAAUCCCUGGGCUCAACCCAGGAACUGCAUUCCAAACUGGAAGACUAGAGUGCGGGAGAGGAAAUUGGUAUUCCCAGUGUAGCGGUGAAAUGCGUAGAGAUUGGGAGGAACACCAGUAGCGAAGGCGAAUUUCUGGAACGUAACUGACGCUGAGGCAUGAAAGCGUGGGGAGCAAAC
rnacentral:rRNA from 1 species